rnacentral:rRNA from 1 species
UAGGGAAUCUUCGGCAAUGGACGGAAGUCUGACCGAGCAACGCCGCGUGAGUGAAGAAGGUUUUCGGUUCGUAAAGCUCUGUUGUUAGAGAAGAACGUUGGUAGGAGUGGAAAAUCUACCAAGUGACGGUAACUAACCAGAAAGGGACGGCUAACUACGUGCCAGCAGCCGCGGUAAUACGUAGGUCCCGAGCGUUGUCCGGAUUUAUUGGGCGUAAAGCGAGCGCACGCGGUUCUUUAAGUCUGAAGUUAAAGGCAGUGGCUUAACCAUUGUACGGUUUGGAAACUGGAGGACUGGCGUGCAGAAGGGGAGAGUGGAAUUCCAGGUGUAGCGGUUAAAUGCGUAGAUAUAUGGAGGAACACCGGUGGCGAAAGCGUCUCUCUGGUCAGUAACUGACGCUGAGGCUCGAAAGCGUGGGGAGCAAACAGG